rnacentral:lncRNA from 1 species
UUCAAACAAGAUUUGAAAUAAAACAGGCCACAAAUAUAGCAGCGCAACAACCAUCAGGUUUGAUCAUGUAAAUUUCAGCAAAUAAGCUCUAGGGAUUAAUAAAACUGCAUCUGUCCAACAUAACAGGCACACAUUAGUUAUAAAGUGGCCUCCAACAUAACCCUUAACAGUCCAACAUCAGUUCAACCAUCACAGCAUAGUUCAGAGUUUAAAUAGUCCGGUACAGCCAACAGACUUAAAGUAUUACACAUAGAAACAACAGCUCCAAAAGGCAACUAUCAAAGUAUGACAUUGAAACAGCAGCUCCAAGCUUGCCUACAUCCAAAAGCUUCUUGAUAUCCUUAGUUAUUCUUCAAGUGCCAUUUAUGGUUUAGAGAAAACAGAGGAAGGGUCAGGAUGGAGGUAGUUCUGCAUCGGAAUUAUCUUCUGCCACUUUGUGCAUUAAAAAUAAAAUGGACUAACAGGACAAGUGGCUAGUAGAACAAUAGUCAAAUUUAUACAUGCUCAUGAAUCAAAUAACAAAUCUACUACAGCAAUAUAGUUUUUUAUUCACCAAAAAGCUUCAGGAGCAAAGGUUAAAUGCCUCCAUAUACUAGAAUGAUGAAUUCUAGUUUACAGUUUUUACUCGAGCACAACAAAACUCUAAGGAUACAAAGAAAACAACAUAGACACAAACAGCCCACUGUUGGCUUGGACUAGCCAUUUGUCAAUUGUCAUACAAAAGGAAAAUCAGGAUGGAUGUAGUUCAACAUCAGAAUUUUCUUCUUCCACUUUGUGCAUAAUGAAAUAAAAUGGACUAACAUGGAGGUGUCUAGUGCAACAAUAGUCAAGUGGUAACAUUUCAGGAUAACAUAAAUACAUUGCUUAACAUGACAACGAAGGCUAGGCAUGGAUAGAAAGUGUAUACAUCUAAGAAACUAGCAGCUCCAAGUAACUAAAAUUUUCUAAGCAAUUAUCAUGAAUCAUAAAACACUAGAAAGAAGAGACUUGCCAACAGAUUUCUAAGCAACAGGGUAUAGGCUGUUGACGCCCUUGGUCUUCUUCUUGACAAGCCGUACAGAUCUACGGGUCUCCAAAUUGCCAUCUCUUGGAGGUGCGUCCUUUUCCACUUGAAUUUGUGUCUCUUUUUCCACUUGCAUUUGGGCCUCUUGCUGAUCAUGCAUGGAUGGAGCAUCUUCCCCAUCCUCACUCACCCCAUCAUUAUCCUCACUCUCACUAUCAACAAAUACAUUCUCUUCAAAAUCACAUGACAAAAGAACAACGGUCAGUUAUGAAGAGUAGGUAACUAGAGAAGCAACCCUUGCUUACUUGGGUGUCCUCACAUGAAUGAGGAACAAAAACAGUACAGCUUAAUGCUCUAGUUUAGAUACUAAGGAAUAAGUAAUUUAACUACAACCUGAUGCUCUAGUUUGCCAAAAAGACAAGUCAAAAAUAAUAAUCUAUUCUUGAGAAAGAUACUGCGAAGCUUAGUUCUAGAACCACCACUUAAUGGUACCGCUGAACAUUGAAAUUAACCAUCGGUCAACAUCUACUUAGUUAAAUACACAACACAACUGAAUUAUUAUUGGACGUACUGUAGAUCUAAAUAAAUGAUCAAUUCAAACAUGAGAUGCUUCUGCAAACAUACAAGCGAGUGGUUGGAGGUGAUGAAAAAAACUUUAAUAUUGCACACAAGCAUCAUCUCAACAGCUCAAAAACAAGCACACACCCCAGAUCUAUGGAACGAUUAUAUAUUUUAGGAUGUUCAGAAUAACGUUUGUAACCCACUUUUUUGUUGGACCAAAAUAAAUAGUACCAGAUCGUGAGCAUCCUUAGUGAAUACCAGAUGCAUGUGUGUUUCAGAUUAUAUACCAAACCAAAACAUUGUGAGACUCCUUGGUGACUACCAGAUGCAUGUAUAUUUCAGAUUAAUAAUCUCACUGUUGUACGUUCAACUCAUCAAGACUCACUUUUUCUUAACCCCGUAUGAUAUAUGCAUUUGCCGAGCCAUUUACCAGGGACCUCUCCUAAAUCUAAAGCAGCACAAGCAGACACAGAUUAUAACCAAGAAACAAAGCAACAUCGAUCUGAAAUUGCUCAAGAACUGAAACUGCAUACACGUACUGAAACUGCAUCAAGAACAUUUGUAC